AAUGAAGAGCAGGGGAGCUGUUGACGUUCAUGAAGCUUCGCUUCAUGAAGUCACCGAGUUUUGCGAAGCAAAACUCUUACUGCUAUUAUGCAGUGAGAGGACUUGGGAACGCUGAGAGGAGCCAAGAGCUUAAACCCUAUGAACCUGAGGCGGAUAAUACCGACGGAGGAAGCAUCUCAUUUUCCCAG
rnacentral:ncRNA from 1 species